UUGAACGCUGGCGGCAUGCCUUACACCUGCAAGUCGAACGGUAACAGGUUAAGCUGCCGCGUGGCGAACGGGUGAGUAAUGUAUCGGAACGUGCCCAGUCGUGGGGGAUAACUGCUCGAAAGAGCAGCUAAUACCGCAUACGACCUGAGGGUGAAAGCGGGGGAUCGCAAGACCUCGCGCGAUUGGAGCGGCCGAUAUCAGAUUAGGUAGUUGGUGAGGUAAAGGCUCACCAAGCCGACGAUCUGUAGCUGGUCUGAGAGGACGACCAGCCACACUGGGACUGAGACACGGCCCAGACUCCUACGGGAGGCAGCAGUGGGGAAUUUUGGACAAUGGGCGCAAGCCUGAUCCAGCCAUGCCGCGUGCGGGAAGAAGGCCUUCGGGUUGUAAACCGCUUUUGUCAGGGAAGAAAAGGUUCUGGCUAAUACCUGGGACUCAUGACGGUACCUGAAGAAUAAGCACCGGCUAACUACGU
rnacentral:rRNA from 1 species